rfam:Pelodiscus sinensis unplaced genomic scaffold scaffold319, whole genome shotgun sequence.
AUGCCUUAAACUUAUGAGUAAGGAAAAUAACGAUCCGGGGUGACGCCCGGGUCCUCACUGCUAAUGUGAGAGGAAUUUUUGCACGGGCACAGGUCGCCCCCAGGGUGACUCGCCUACUUCGCGAGAUGCCCGGGUGCGUGGGCUAGUUCCG